UACGUAGGGACCGAGCGUUGUCCGGAAUCAUUGGGCGUAAAGAGCGUGUAGGCGGCCUUUUAAGUCCUGCGUGAAAUCCUGCGGCUCAACCGCAGACGGUCGUGGGAAACUGGAAGGCUAGAGUGCGGGAGAGGAGAGUGGAAUUCCCGGUGUAGCGGUGAAAUGCGCAGAUAUCGGGAAGAACACCCGUGGCGAAGGCGCUCUCUGGAACGCAACUGACGCUGAGACGCGAAAGCGUGGGGAGCAACAGG
rnacentral:rRNA from 1 species